rnacentral:rRNA from 1 species
UACGGAGGAUGCAAGCGUUAUCCGGAAUGAUUGGGCGUAAAGCGUCCGCAGGUGGCUGUGUAAGUCUGCUGUCAAAGAGCAAAGCUCAACUUUGUAAAGGCAGUGGAAACUACACGGCUAGAGUGCGUUCGGGGCAGAGGGAAUUCCUGGUGUAGCGGUGAAAUGCGUAGAGAUCAGGAAGAACACCGGUGGCGAAGGCGGUCUGCUGGGCAGUAGCUGACACUGAGGCGCGACAGCGUGGGGAGCAAACAGG